UAGUAAUUCAUUCUCCAUUUUAACUGAUAGCUUUGCACUCCUUUUAUCUUAUAAUAAAAAACCCGAAAAAAAAGAUAAAUUUAAGUUUAGUGAAAAGUUAACGUAAACUGCACUUCGACUGUCAAAUUAAAUUCCAAAAUUGAAUAUCUAAUUUGAGGAUUCAAUCCGAGAUUCUUUUUGCAUCGCAAUUCUGGGAGAAAUGGACAGUUGCUGCUAUUUUUUUGACGAUUACAAUAGCUUUUUACGUAAUAUGGGAGCUGACAUUAUGACAGGUGAUUGUGAACCAUACCAGCUUCCGUACAGCAAUGUUUACUAUCCAGCAGGCCCCUAUGGUCCUAGACUUAUGUUGUCUCCCUAUGUGCCAGUGAGUUACUUUUCGCCACAAAGGACUUGGAGGUGAUAAUUUUCAGUACGUUAAGGUUAAACUGCUUUGCUCAAGGUUAAGUCGUUUUACUUUAAGAUUGUAUUUUACGGAGUUAUUCGACUCUUAUGUAUAGGACUUAAUCAUGAAUAAAAACGGGGUCUUAGAUACUA